rnacentral:rRNA from 1 species
UACGAAGGACCCAAGCGUUAUCCGGAUUUAUUGGGUUUAAAGGGUGCGUAGGCGGGUUAUUAAGUCAGUGGUGAAAGCCUGCAGCUUAACUGCAGAAUUGCCAUUGAUACUGAUGAUCUUGAGUAUGAUUGAGGUGGGCGGAAUGUGUCAUGUAGCGGUGAAAUGCUUAGAUAUGACACAGAACACCGAUUGCGAAGGCAGCGCACUAAGCCAUAACUGACGCUGAUGCACGAAAGCGUGGGGAGCAAACAGG